rnacentral:lncRNA from 10 species
UCUGUGUGUGCGUUCGGUGUGUGGCCGGGUGUGGGGGGUGUGUGCGCGGAGCACGUUUUAGCUGGAGUGCUUGGUGUGGUGUGUAUUUGGUUUGCGCUUUGACAUGCAGCAUGUGUUUGUGUGUGCACGCUUAUAGGUUGUAUGUUUCUGCCCGAUUAUAGUGGGAUUAUGUGGGUGCGGUUUGAAGGUGGGUGUGUGCUGUUCCUGCCGGGGUUUGUGGUCGUGCUGUGGUGAGUGUAUAUGUGUGUGCAAUGUGUGGAUGUGUGUGUGCCCGUUGAAGCUUGUGUGCAUAUGUGUGGAGUGUGUUUAUGCUUAGAUGCAGUGUGUCAAUGUGGGUUUACAGGUGGUGUCUGUUGAACUGUGUAGUGUGUGAAUGUGUGCGUGUGCAAGAUUUCUCUAUAAGUCAAUCUACUUGAGAUGUGUGUUCAAAGGUUUAUGCAUGUGAGGGUGCGGUGUGUGUCUUUUGGUGUGAUGUUCUCAUGUGUGUGGUGUGGACGCAUGUGGUCAGCUUACGUGCUUGGAUGAAGGGGUUGUGUGUGUCUUGAAGGGGGAUUGCCGCGUAAGUGUAUGGGUGCGGUGUGUGAGAGUACAGGGUUGUCUAAAAGAACCCAAGUGACCGUGUGUGUGGUUGGGGGCGGGGACGAGUGGGACGUUGGGCUGGGACUGAGAGAAGAAAGGAAGUAGGGGCCGCGACCCCGGCAGGGGUUCCCGCUGGUCUGAUCUUCACCGUGGGGGUUCGCCUGCCCGCCCACCUCUGUGUCGGCAAGGCCCGCUGGGGCAGGGUGUGAAUGUACCUGGCUGCUUAAAGGAAAGAAGAGGAGGGCACCGCACGUGAUUGGCCAGCCCUGUUCCUUCCUUUUGGACUAAUGGCUGAGUGACCCAACUGGAUUUCCUUGGCUUGAACCUGAGCAAGCCCUCUCUCUCUAAAGACUUGAAUGCCUACUCCCUUCACUGAGUGGUUUCUUCUGUUCCUGGCCAACUCAGAUGCAAUCCCUAGUGAGCCUGAUGAUCAAACUUCUGAGCGAUCAGAUUCCUGAAAGAGCAGUCUCUCCAUGACAAAAGAUGGAUUUGGAAAUGAGAAAGCAAUUUCUGUAAAACUUCUGCACCUGUGGUAGACUCAGAAACACACACAAGGCUAUAAAUGUCUUUAUGCACUUAUUAAUUUUCCAAUAAACAUACUCAACAGUACACCUAAUAGGGAAGUUCUGUGAUUAAUUUUUCAAACAAUAAGAAAAUAAAUGAUCAGAAAGGCUUAC